UACGGCGAGUGAAGCGGCAACAGCUCAAAUUUGAAAUCUGGCCCUUGGGUCCGAAUUGUAAUUUGUAGAGGAUGAUUUUGGUGCGGUACCUUCCGAGUUCCUUGGAACAGGACGCCUUAGAGGGUGAGAGCCCCGUACGGUUGGAUACCUAGCCUCUGUAAAUCUCCUUCGACGAGUCGAGUAGUUUGGGAAUGCUGCUCUAAAUGGGAGGUAAAUUUCUUCUAAAGCUAAAUACUGGCCAGAGACCGAUAGCGCACAAGUAGAGUGAUCGAAAGAUGAAAAGCACUUUGAAAAGAGGGUUAAAUAGCACGUGAAAUUGUUGAAAGGGAAGGAUUUAUGACCAGACUUUUUCUGGGCAGAUCAUCCGGUGUUCUCACCGGUGCACUUUGCCCAGUUUAGGCCAGCAUCGAUUUCCGGAGGGGGAUAAAAGCUUUAGGAAUGUGGCUCCCUCGGGAGUGUUAUAGCCUAUUGUAUAAUACCUUUCUGGGGAUCGAGGUACGCGCUUCUGCAAGGAUGCUGGCGUAAUGGUUAUCAAUCACCCGUCUUGAAACACGGACCAAGGAGUCGAACAUUUGUGCGAGUGUUUGGGUGUUAAACCCUCACGCGUAAUGAAAGUGAACGGAGGUAAGAGCCCUUACGGGUGCAUUAUCGACCGAUCCUGAAGUUUUCGGAUGGAUUUGAGUAGGAGCAUAAAUGUUCGGACCCGAAAGAUGGUGAACUAUGCGUGGAUAGGGUGAAGCCAGAGGAAACUCUGGUGGAGGCUCGCAGCGGUUCUGACGUGCAAAUCGAUCGUCAAAUCUGCGCAUGGGGGCGAAAGACUAAUCGAACCAUCUAGAGCU
rnacentral:rRNA from 1 species